UAUUUAUCAGUGUUGGAGCACUAUUAAAUUUGAAUUAAUAAGUUAUAAAAUAAUAUUAUAAUAAUAC
rnacentral:tRNA from 1 species